UAGACAGAUGCUUGUUGGUUUAAGCGCUUAGCUGUUAACUAGGAUUUUGUAGGAUCGAAGCCUACCUGUCUAG
rnacentral:tRNA from 1 species